AACUUCGCAAUGACCAUGACCACCAUUAUGAUGACCAUUACCAUGUGUAACGGGGCGGGUUAGUGCGUACUAAAUAAAAAAUACAUUAAACCCGCAUAUUAUGCGGGUUUUUUUAUG
rfam:Pasteurella bettyae CCTG 2042 contig00003, whole genome shotgun sequence.